rnacentral:rRNA from 1 species
ACAAAGGGUUGCCAAGCCGCGAGGUGGAGCUAAUCCCAUAAAACCGAUCGUAGUCCGGAUCGCAGUCUGCAACUCGACUGCGUGAAGUCGGAAUCGCUAGUAAUCGUGAAUCAGAAUGUCACGGUGAAUACGUUCCCGGGCCUUGUACACACCGCCCGUCACACCAUGGGAGUGGGUUGCUCCAGAAGUAGCUAGUCUAACCUUCGGGGGGACGGUUACCCCGGAGUGAUUCAUGACUGGGGUGAAGUCGUAACAAGGUAGCCGUAGGGGAACCUGCGGUUGGAUCACCUC